AAAAAUGAAUUAAAAAAUUAGUUUCGACCUAAUUAUAGAUAUUAAAUUAUCCAUUUUUA
rnacentral:tRNA from 1 species